AGGAUCAUUCGCAAUGGACGAAAGUCUGACGAUGCGACGCUGCGUGGAGGAUGAAGGCCUUCGGGUUGUAAACUCCUGUCAUGAGGGAAGAGGCGAGGGGACCUAAUACGUUCUUUAGUUGACUGUACCUCAAGAGGAAUGGGCGGCUAACUCUGUGCCAGCAGCCGCGGUAAUACAGAGGUCCCUAGCGUUGUUCGGAUUUACUGGGCGUAAAGGGCACGUAGGCGGCAUGGCGUGUCGAGUGUGAAAUCUCCGGGCCCAACCCGGAAAGUGCGCUCGAAACUACCAUGCUGGAGUACGGGAGAGGGAAUCGGAAUGCAGGGUGUAGCGGUGAAAUGCGUUGAUAUCCUGCAGAACACCGGAGGCGAAGGCGGAUUCCUGGAACGUUACUGACGCUAAGGUGCGAAAGUCGGGGGAGCGAACA
rnacentral:rRNA from 1 species